rnacentral:rRNA from 1 species
ACUCAAAUGAAUUGACGGGGGCCCGCACAAGCGGUGGAUCAUGUGGUUUAAUUCGAAGCAACGCGCAGAACCUUACCUGGGUUUGACAUCCCAUUGAAUACAGCUAGAGAUAGCAGUAGGCUCGCAAGAGACAAUGGAGACAGGUGCUGCAUGGCUGUCGUCAGCUCGUGUUGUGAAAUGUUGGGUUAAGUCCCGCAACGAGCGCAACCCCUGUGUUUGGUUGCCAUCAUUUAAGGUGGGCACUCCAGACAGACUGCCGUGGUUAACACGGAGGAAGGUGGGGAUGACGUCAAGUCCUCAUGGCCCUUACAUCCAGGGCGACACACGUGAUACAAUGGUAGGAACAAAGGGAAGCGAAGUAGCGAUACGGAGCCAAUCUCAAAAAACCUAUCUCAGUUCGGAUUGAAGUCUGCAACUCGACUUCAUGAAGUUGGAAUCGCUAGUAAUCGCGGAUCAGAACGCCGCGGUGAAUACGUUCCCGGGCCUUGUACACACCGCCCGU